rnacentral:rRNA from 1 species
AGAUUACGAGGUUGAUAGGCCAGAGGUGUAAGUAUAGUAAUAUACUCAGCUGACUGGUACUAAUUAGUCGAAAAGCUUGACUUU